AGAGUUUGAUCCUGGCUCAGUGAACGCUGGCGGCGUGCCUAACACAUGCAAGUCGAACGGACGAGAGGAGCUUGCUCCUCAAGUUAGUGGCGAACGGGUGAGUAACGCGUGAGCAACCUGCCUUUCAGAGGGGGACAACGGUUGGAAACGACCGCUAAUACCGCAUGAUGCAGUUGGAUCGCAUGAUCCGACUGCCAAAGAUUUAUCGCUGAAAGAUGGGCUCGCGUCUGAUUAGAUAGUUGGUGGGGUAACGGCCUACCAAGUCGACGAUCAGUAGCCGGACUGGGAGGUUGAACGGCCACAUUGGGACUGAGAUACGGCCCAGACUCCUACGGGAGGCAGCAGUGGGGAAUAUUGGGCAAUGGGGGAAACCCUGACCCAGCAACGCCGCGUGAAGGAAGAAGGCUUUCGGGUUGUAAACUUCUUUUACCAGGGACGAAGGACGUGACGGUACCUGGAGAAAAAGCCACGGCUAACUACGUGCCAGCAGCCGCGGUAAUACGUAGGUGGCAAGCGUUGUCCGGAUUUACUGGGUGUAAAGGGCGUGUAGGCGGAGCGGCAAGUCAGAAGUGAAAUCUCCGGGCUUAACCCGGAAACUGCUUUUGAAACUGUCGCCCUUGAGUAUCGGAGAGGCAGGCGGAAUUCCUAGUGUAGCGGUGAAAUGCGUAGAUAUUAGGAGGAACACCAGUGGCGAAGGCGGCCUGCUGGACGACAACUGACGCUGAGGCGCGAAAGCGUGUGGAGCAAACAGGAUUAGAUACCUGGUAGUCCACUCCGUAAAUGAUGGAUACUAGGUGUGGCGGGACUGACCCCUUCCGUGCCGCAGUUAACACAAUAAGUAUCCCACCUGGGGAGUACGAUCGCAAGAUUGAAACUCAAAGGAAUUGACGGGGGCCCGCACAAGCAGUGGAUUAUGUGGUUUAAUUCGACGCAACGCGAAGAACCUUACCGGGAUUUGACAUCCUGCUAACGAAGUAGAGAUACACUAGGUGCCCUUCGGGGAAAGCAGAGACAGGUGGUGCAUGGUUGUCGUCAGCUCGUGGCGUGAGAUGUUGGGUUAAGUCCCGCAACGAAAAACAAAAAUUAUUGUUAGUUGCUACGCAAGAGCACUCUAGCGAGACUGCCGUUGACAAAACGGAGGAAGGCGGGGACGACGUCAAAUCAUCAUGCCCCUUAUGUCCCGGGCUACACACGUAAUACAAUGGCGGUCAACAGAGGGAAGCAAAGCCGCGAGGCAGAGCAAAACCCUAAAAGCCGUCUCAGUUCGGAUCGCAGUCUGCAACUCGAUUGCGUGAAGUUGGAAUUGCUAGUAAUCGCGGAUCAGCAUGCCGCGGUGAAUACGUUCCCGGGCCUUGUACACACCGCCCGUCACACCAUGAGAGUCGGGAACACCCGAAGUCCGUAGUCUAACCGCAAGGAGGGCGCGGCCGAAGGUGGGUCUGAUAAUUGGGGUGAAGUCGUAACAAGGUAACC
rnacentral:rRNA from 1 species